rnacentral:rRNA from 1 species
UACGAAGGGGGCAAGCGUUGUUCGGAUUUACUGGGCGUACAGGGAGCGUAGGCGGUUGGGUAAGCCCUCCGUGAAAUCUCCGGGCCUAACCCGGAAAGUGCGGAGGGGACUGCUCGGCUAGAGGAUGGGAGAGGAGGGCGGAAGUCCCGGUGUAGCGGUGAAAUGCGUAGAGAUCGGGAGGAAGGCCGGUGGCGAAGGCGGCGCUCUGGAACAUUUCUGACGCUGAGGCUCGAAAGCGUGGGGAGCAAACAGG